rnacentral:rRNA from 1 species
CGUACCUUUUGUAUAAUGGGUCAGCGACUUAUAUUCAGUAGCAAGGUUAACCGUAUAGGGGAGCCGUAGGGAAACCGAGUCUUAAUAGGGCGUUUAGUUGCUGGGUAUAGACCCGAAACCAGGCGAUCUAUCCAUGAGCAGGUUGAAGGUUGGGUAACACUAACUGGAGGACCGAACCCACUGUCGUUGAAAAGCCAGGGGAUGACUUGUGGAUAGGGGUGAAAGGCUAAUCAAGCCUGGUGAUAGCUGGUUCUCCCCGAAAGCUAUUUAGGUAGCGCCUCGGACGAAUACCAUAGGGGGUAGAGCACUGUUUCGGCUAGGGGGUCAUCCCGACUUACCAAACCGAUGCAAACUCCGAAUACCUAUGAGUACUAUCCGGGAGACAGACUGCGGGUGCUAACGUCCGUAGUCAAGAGGAAAACAAUCCAGACCGCCAGCUAAGGCCCCAAAAUCAUAGUUAAGUGGGAAACGAUGUGGGAAGGCAUAGACAGCUAGGAGGUUGGCUUAGAAGCAGCCACCCUUUAAAGAAAGCGUAAUAGCUCACUAGUCGAGUCGGCCUGCGCGGAAGAUGUAACGGGGCUAAAACUAUGUGCCGAAGCUGCGGAUUUGACAUUAGUCAAGUGGUAGGGGAGCGUUCUGUAAGCCGAUGAAGGUGUAUUGAGAAGUAUGCUGGAGGUAUCAGAAGUGCGAAUGCUGACGUGAGUAACGACAAAACGGGUGAAAAACCCGUUCGCCGAAAGACCAAGGGUUCCAGUCCAACGUUAAUCGGGGCUGGGUGAGUCGACCCCUAAGGCGAGGCCGAAAGGCGUAGUCGAUGGGAAAUUGGUUAAUAUUCCAAUACUUCUGUGUAAUGCGAUGAGAGGACGGAGAAGGUUAAGUCAGCCUGGCGUUGGUUGUCCAGGUGGAAGGAUGUAGGUAUGUAUCUUAGGCAAAUCCGGGGUACUCUAUACUGAGAUCCGAUAGCAAGCUGUACUUGUACAGUGAAGUGGCUGAUACCAUGCUUCCAGGAAAAGUCUCUAAGCUUCAGUUACACAGGAAUCGUACCCGAAACCGACACAGGUGGUCAGGUCGAGUAGACCAAGGCGCUUGAGAGAACUCUGCUGAAGGAACUAGGCAAAAUGGUACCGUAACUUCGGGAGAAGGUACGCUGUUGUUGGUGAUGGAACUUGCUUCCUGAGCUGACGACAGCCGCAGAAACCAGGCCGCUGCAACUGUUUAUUAAAAACAUAGCACUCUGCAAACACGAAAGUGGACGUAUAGGGUGUGAUGCCUGCCCGGUGCUGGAAGGUUAAUUGAUGGGGUUAGCGUAAGCGAAGCUCUUGAUCGAAGCCCCAGUAAACGGCGGCCGUAACUAUAACGGUCCUAAGGUAGCGAAAUUCCUUGUCGGGUAAGUUCCGACCUGCACGAAUGGCAUAAUGAUGGCGGCGCUGUCUCCAGCAGAGGCUCAGUGAAAUCGAAAUCGCUGUGAAGAUGCAGUGUACCCGCGGCUAGACGGAAAGACCCCGUGAACCUUUACUGCAGCUUGACACUGAACUUUGACCUUACUUGUGUAGGAUAGGUGGGAGGCUUUGAAGUUGGAACGCUAGUUCCAAUGGAGCCGUCCUUGAAAUACCACCCUGGUAAUGUUGAGGUUCUAACUCUGUCCCGUUAUCCGGGACGAGGACCGUGUCUGGUGGGUAGUUUGACUGGGGCGGUCUCCUCCUAAAGAGUAACGGAGGAGUACGAAGGUGCGCUCAGCGUGGUCGGAAAUCACGCGUAGAGUAUAAAGGCAAAAGCGCGCUUAACUGCGAGACCCACAAGUCGAGCAGGUACGAAAGUAGGUCUUAGUGAUCCGGUGGUUCUGUAUGGAAGGGCCAUCGCUCAACGGAUAAAAGGUACUCUGGGGAUAACAGGCUGAUACCGCCCAAGAGUUCAUAUCGACGGCGGUGUUUGGCACCUCGAUGUCGGCUCAUCUCAUCCUGGGGCUGAAGCAGGUCCCAAGGGUAUGGCUGUUCGCCAUUUAAAGAGGUACGCGAGCUGGGUUUAGAACGUCGUGAGACAGUUCGGUCCCUAUCUACCGUGGGCGCUGGAAAUUUGAGAGGAUCUGCUCCUAGUACGAGAGGACCAGAGUGGACGAACCUCUGGUGUACCGGUUGUGACGCCAGUCGCAUCGCCGGGUAGCUAUGUUCGGAAGGGAUAACCGCUGAAAGCAUCUAAGCGGGAAGCCUACCUCAAGAUAAGAUUUCCCUAGGAAUUUAUUCCUCUAAAGAGCCGUUCGAGACUAGGACGUUGAUAGGUUGGAUGUGGAAGCAUAGUGAUAUGUGAAGCUGACCAAUACUAAUUGCUCGUGAGGCUUGACUAU